rnacentral:lncRNA from 1 species
UAAUAUAUAAAUCUACAAGCCAAUGAGACUUAGAACAUAACUUUUUACAAUGCAUGGGACAGGCUUAUUCAUUCUCACCAACUCAAAAUAAAGGUUAAUAUUGAAAGAAAGAAAAAAAUUGGUUUUGAUUCUUAAAACUACCUUUAAUUUGACUCUUUUUCAUAUAUAACACUCCAGUUGGUUAAUCAUAUUCAAAGGAAGGCAGUUACCUCACAAGUAGCUCUUAUGAUGUCAAACAUUCUAUAGCCUGAAAUUUCAACCUCAACCUUGACCUUCACUUCCCUCACAACCACUUGAAUUUUUACCCUCGCAGCCACUUGAGCUAAAAUGAAAACUCCACUUUGCUUUCAUCAGUUUUGGGGAUUGUUUUUAUACUGCUGUGGUGAAAAAGAAGAAUGGGACAAACCCAAAUCUCAUACAAGGGAGGAAAUUAUAAAGAUCAGACCAGAAAUCAAUGCAAUGCAGACUAAGAGAACGAUACAAAAAAUCGAUCAAGCUAAGUGUUCAAAAGAAUCAACAAAAUUGACAAACCUUAGCCAAGCUCAUCAAAAAAAGGAAAGAAAAGGCCCAAUUCCAUCCAAUUAAGAAUGAAAAUGGUGAAAUUACAACACACCCAACAGAAAUCCAGAGGAUCAUAAAUAUCUACUUCAAGAACCUAUACGCCAAUAAGAUGGAAAACAGAAGAAAUGGACAGAUUCCUAGAUACAUAUGAAUUACUAAAGUUGAAUGAAGAAGACCUAAAAAUUAUAAACAACCCAAUAUCAACCAAUGAAAUUGAAAAUGUAAUUAAAAACUUAUCAACUAAGAAAAGCCUGGGCCCUGAUGGCUUCAUUGCUGAAUUCUACAAGAUUUUUAGAGAGGAACUAUUUGCCACUACUGUUUAAACUCUU